rfam:Zootermopsis nevadensis contig15190, whole genome shotgun sequence.
GCCACGGUGGUCUAGCGGUUAGAACGCUGGUCUUUUAAUCCUGGGGUCUCGGGUUCGAUUCCCGGCGGUGCCC